rnacentral:SRP_RNA from 1 species
GCUGGGUGUGGUGGCUCAUGCCUGUAAUCCCAGCACUUUGGGAGGCUGAGGUGGGUGGAUCACCUGAGGUCAGGAGUUUGAGACCAGCCUGGCCAACAUGGUGAAACCCCAUCUCUG